rnacentral:rRNA from 1 species
GAUGAACGCUGACAGAAUGCUUAACACAUGCAAGUCUUUGGCGAAGCUGUGCUUGCACCGCCUAGCCAAGGCGGACGGGUGAGUAACGCGUAAGGAACUUGCCCUGCAGUCAGGGAUAACAGACGGAAACGACUGAUAAGACCUGGUAAAGUCAGGCGGACUCAUGUCCAGCCUGAUGAAAAGAGAUGCUGCAGGAGAGCCUUGCGUCCUAUUAGCUUGUUGUUGGGGUAACGGCCCACCAAGGCGAUGAUAGGUAGCCGGCCUGAGAGGGUGGACGGCCACAAGGGGACUGAGAUACGGCCCUUACUCCUACGGGAGGCAGCAGUGGGGAAUAUUGGACAAGGGGGGCAACCCUGAUCCAGCAAUUCUGUGUGCACGAUGAAGGUUUUCGGAUUGUAAAGUGCUUUCAGCAGGGAAGAAAAAAAUGACGGUACCUGCAGAAGAAGCGACGGCUAAAUACGUG